rnacentral:rRNA from 1 species
GGGUGAGUAACGCGUAAGGAACUUGCCUCUUGGACUGGGACAACUGUUGGAAACGACAGCUAAUACCGGAUAUUAUGAGAUUCUCGCAUGAGAAACUUAUGAAAGCUAUAUGCGCCAAGAGAGAGCCUUGCGUUCCAUUAGCUAGUUGGUGGGGUAACGGCCCACCAAGGCGACGAUGGAUAGCCGGCCUGAGAGGGUGAACGGCCACAAGGGGACUGAGACACGGCCCUUACUCCUACGGGAGGCAGCAGUGGGGAAUAUUGGACAAUGGGCCACAAGCCUGAUCCAGCAAUUCUGUGUGCACGAUGAAGGUCUUCGGAUUGUAAAGUGCUUUCAGUUGGGAAGAAGAAAGUGACGGUACCAACAGAAGAAGCGACGGCUAAAUACGUGCCAGCAGCCGCGGUAAUACGUAUGUCGCAAGCGUUAUCCGGAUUUAUUGGGCGUAAAGCGCGUCUAGGCGGAAAAAUAAGUCUGAUGUUAAAAUGCGGGGCUCAACUCCGUAUUGCGUUGGAAACUGUUUUUCUAGAGUACUGGAGAGGUGGGCGGAACUACAAGUGUAGAGGUGAAAUUCGUAGAUAUUUGUAGGAAUGCCGAUGGAGAAGUCAGCUCACUGGACAGAUACUGACGCUGAAGCGCGAAAGCGUGGGGAGCAAA